UGGGGAAUAUUGCACAAUGGGGGAAACCCUGAUGCAGCAACGCCGCGUGAGUGAUGAAGGCCUUCGGGUUGUAAAGCUCUGUCUUUUGGGGGACGAUUAUGACGGUACCCAAGGAGGAAGCCACGGCUAACUACGUGCCAGCAGCCGCGGUAAAUCGUAGGUGGCAAGCGUUGUCCGGAUUUACUGGGCGUAAAGGAUGCGUAGGCGGAUAUUUAAGUGAGAUGUGAAAUACCCGGGCUCAACUUGGGUGCUGCAUUUCAAACUGGAUAUCUAGAGUGCAGGAGAGGAAAGUGGAAUUCCUAGUGUAGCGGUGAAAUGCGUAGAGAUUAGGAAGAACAUCAGUGGCGAAGGCGACUUUCUGGACUGU
rnacentral:rRNA from 1 species